GUCUACGGCCAUACCACCCUGAACGUGCCUGAUCUCAGAAGCUAAGCAGAGUGAGGCCUGCCUAGUCCUUGGAUGGGAGAAAUAAAGAGAAUGCCUUUCACAAAUGCCCCAGAGGUUGGUUGACU
rnacentral:rRNA from 1 species